CUAUGGGCAAGCCCCCAGGAUUGGGCUCAAUUAUUAUGAAGCGUACCUCGCAGUGUACUGUUGACUGAAUGAGGUUUUCAAAAUUCAAAUGUGGCAAAGCCUGAGCCUAGGCAUAUAGUUUGCUCCAUAAUUUCUCUUUUAAAUGUUUAUUAUGAUGUAUUCAGGUGGAAGGGAGCGUCGAGCGGGGAUGAGAUCUCGAGAUGUAGACGGCAAUGCCACACCCACGAAGACACCAAUAAUGAUGCUAUCAUUGAUAAAUGAUCCUAUUACUGAAUUGUAUGAUCUUGAAACUGGCCCUCAACUUCUCGUAGAGACUAAAAAUGAAUAAUGAAUACAGUUGCGUGUGUACUUCAAGUGGUAUGAUAAUAGCACUACUUAUUAAUGAUCACUGCGUAGUCAAGUUAGAUUGCAUGUCACACAUGAUCAGUACUUACACAUUCAUGCAAGGGUAAUUAAAACAACAGCAGCAGUCAUUUGAUGUCGUUAAUUUCACGUACAAAUAUUUCUGUUCAUCUGUUUCAGGUCUCCUGAUGGUAGUGGUACUUGUAUAUUGACUUACAAUAAUGACAAUAUACUGAGAUUGUAUAAUCUUCCAAAUGAGCUCUACAGCUCUUCAUUCCCUGAUCACAUUCAACCAGAAACAGUGAAUUUAGACACACAAAAACAUGCAUAUGUACAUGUAUUUCUAACAUAUUGCUUUGCUGUCUUUUGUAAGAUCCUGUUGUUUAUGCUAGAGAAGAUGAAAUUAUAUACGAUUAUGCCUGGUUCCCUAGAAUGUCAUCCUAUGAUUAUGCCAUUUGCUGGUCAGUGUGUGAUCAUUAUACAUGUGUAAAUUCAAAUGUAAUUAUGUGUAGAUGAUGUAAGAAUUAAAAUAAUGUUAAUUGAUACAGUUGCAUGUACCUUUAGCAUAAAAAAUUUAAAAUUGUAUAGGCCUAUAUUAAAUUAAUGUUCAUUUCUUGCUAGUGCAAAUUUUCCAUUAUACCAUAGCAACAAACACGUACACAAAAAAUGAAUGUGAGGAAAAUGAGGAAUAUUAUCUGUGCUAUCCUAAAUGCAAGGAAAACUACAUGGGAGUUGCCAUAGUUUGCUGGGGAUAUUGCAGCUAUUUCUGUGGACCAGAGUAUGAUGACAUGGGCCUAUACUGCUAUCAGUGGUGGCCACCAAAGAGCUGUUACAAGCCAAGGUAUGAUAGAGGUGCCGGUACCCUACCUUACAAACCCUGGACCAAUGGAUUGGGAUGCAAUGAGUUUGGUGUGAAUAAUCAAGGAGGAUGUGCAAGGAUUGACGUCUCUGGUAAAGUGCCCCAUUGAUGUUGGAUGCAACAAGCCAAUAUAGGAAUUUUUGUUGCCUAUUUUUGAUGGUUCUUGUUGUCAUACAUGUAAUAAACUUUUACAUUACAUUUCCAUCUAUGCCACAUAAUCUAUGCCUUGCAAGUUGAUAACAAAGAAAAGUACAGUGGGGCAUUGUGUUAGGUCAGUAGCCUAUUGUGUUGCACUAGAAGUUGUAAACAAUAGUAUGCACCCAGGGCAAACAUACGUCAUGAGAGCCAUAAUGCCAAUAUUUUGGGUAGCUUACUAUUAUGUACUACUAGGUGUACUUAGUUGUAAAUAAUACCAGGCUCACGUGUCAAACAUUAAAGCAUUUUUUACACGUGCUUGCAACAAUUUAAAUGUUUAUUAUGAUGUAUUCAGGUGGAAGGGAGUGGGGAUGAGACAUAGACAGGGAGCAAUGCCACACCCACUGAAGAUACCAAUAAUGAUGCUAUCAUUGAAACCAAUGGCCUAAUCACUAAUAAUGAUCCUAUUACUGAAUUGUAUGAUCUUGAAACUGACCCUCGACUUCUCAUAGAGACUAAAAAUGAAUAACGAAGACAGUUGCUCGUGUACUUCAGAGGAUGCAAGUGGUCUCCUGAUGGUAGUGGUACUUGUAUAUUGACUUACAAUAAUGACAAUAUACUGGGAUUGUAUAAUCUUCCAAAUGAGCUCUAUAGCUCUUCAUUCCCUAAUCACAUUCAACCAGAAAUGGAUCCUGUUGUUUAUGCUAGAGAAGGUGAAAUUAUAUAUGAUUAUGCCUGGUUCCCUAGAAUGUCAUCCUAUGAUUAUGCCACUUGCUGGUCAGUGUGUGAUCAUUUUACACGUGUAAAUUCAAAUAUAAUUAUGUGUAGAUGAUGUAAGAAUUAAAAUAAAUGUUAAUUGAUACAGUUGCAUGUACCUUUACCAUAAAAAUUUUAAAAUUGCAUAUUUUAAAUGUUCACUUCUUGCUAGGGCAAAUUUUCCAUUAUGCACUGCAACAAACAUGUACACAAAGGAUAAAUGUGAUGAAAAUGAGGGAUAUUAUCUGAAAAACUACAUGGAAGUUGCCACAGUUUCCUAGGAAUAUUGCAGCUAUUUCUGUGGACCAGAGCAUGAUGAUGACAUGGGCCUAUACUGCUACAAAUGGUGGCCACCAAAG